rnacentral:rRNA from 1 species
GACGAACGCUGGCGGCGCGCCUAAUACAUGCAAGUAGAACGCUGAAGAGAGGAGCUUGCUCUUCUUGGAUGAGUUGCGAACGGGUGAGUAACGCGUAGGUAACCUGCCUGGUAGCGGGGGAUAACUAUUGGAAACGAUAGCUAAUACCGCAUGAAAUGGAUUAUCGCAUGAUAAUUCAUUGAAAGGUGCAAAUGCAUCACUACCAGAUGGACCUGCGUUGUAUUAGCUAGUUGGUGGGGUAACGGCUCACCAAGGCGACGAUACAUAGCCGACCUGAGAGGGUGAUCGGCCACACUGGGACUGAGACACGGCCCAGACUCCUACGGGAGGCAGCAGUAGGGAAUCUUCGGCAAUAGACGGAAGUCUGACCGAGCAACGCCGCGUGAGUGAAGAAGGUUUUCGGAUCGUAAAGCUCUGUUGUAAGAGAAGAACGAGUGUGAGAGUGGAAAGUUCACACUGUGACGGUAUCUUACCAGAAAGGACGG